AAACUUACCUGGCAAGGGAGAUACCAUGAUCAUGAAGGUGGUUUUCCCAGGGUGAGGUUUAUCCACUGCACUCCGAUGUGCUGACCCCUGCCAUUUCCCCAAAUGUGAGAAACUUGACCGUGUAUUUGUGGUAUUGUGGGACUGUGUUCAUGCUCUCCCCUG
ensembl:snRNA U1 U1 spliceosomal RNA